rnacentral:rRNA from 1 species
AUUGAACGCUGGCGGCAGGCCUAACACAUGCAAGUCGAACGAGUGGCGGACGGGUGAGUAAUGUCGGGGAAACUGCCUGAUGGAGGGGGAUAAAUACUGGAAACGGUAGCUAAUACCGCAUACCAUCAGAUGGGCCCAGAUGGGAUUAGCUUGUUGGUGGGGUAACGGCUCACCAAGGCGACGAUCCCUAGCUGGUCUGAGAGGAUGACCAGCCACACUGUACCUGAGUCACGGUCCAGACUCCUACGUGAGGCAGCAUUGGGGAAUAUUCCACAAUUGGCGCAAGCCUGAUGCAGCCAUGCCGCGUGUAUGAAGAAGGCCUUCGGGUUGUAAAGUACUUUCAGCUGGGAGGCGUUACCCGCAGAAGAAGCACCGGCUAACUCCGUGCCAGCAGCCGCGGUAAUUC